rnacentral:rRNA from 1 species
UUCGCCCUUUUCCGGUUGAUCCUGCCGGAGGUUACUGCUAUCGGUGUUCGCCUAAGCCAUGCGAGUCAUAUGUUCUUCGUGAACAUGGCGUACUGCUCAGUAACACGUGGAUAACCUGCCCUUGGGUCCGGCAUAACCCCGGGAAACUGGGGAUAAUUCCGGAUACCGCAUAUAUGCUGGAAUGCUUUAUGCGUCAAAUGGAUUCGUCUGCCCAAGGAUGGGUCUGCGGCCUAUCAGGUAGUAGUGGGUGUAAUGUACCUACUAGCCAACAACGGGUACGGGUUGUGAGAGCAAGAGCCCGGAGAUGGAUUCUGAGACAUAAAUCCAGGCCCUACGGGGCGCAGCAGGCGCGAAAACUUUACAAUGCGGGAAACCGUGAUAAGGGGACACCGAGUGCUAGCAUCAUAUGCUGGCUGUCCAGGUGUGUAAACUACACCUGUUAGCAAGGGCCGGGCAAGACCGGUGCCAGCCGCCGCGGUAACACCGGCGGCCCGAGUGGUGAUCGUGAUUAUUGGGUCUAAAGGGUCCGUAGCCGGUUUGGUCAGUCCUCCGGGAAAUCUGAUAGCUUAACUAUUAGGCUUUCGGGGGAUACUGCCAGGCUUGGAACCGGGAGAGGUAAGAGGUACUACAGGGGUAGGAGUGAAAUCUU